ACGAACGCUGGCGGCGCGCCUAACACAUGCAAGUCGAACGAGCGAGAGAGAGCUUGCUUUCUCGAGCGAGUGGCGAACGGGUGAGUAACGCGUGAGGAACCUGCCUCAAAGAGGGGGACAACAGUUGGAAACGACUGCUAAUACCGCAUAAGCCCACGACCCGGCAUCGGGUUGAGGGAAAAGGAGCAAUCCGCUUUGAGAUGGCCUCGCGUCCGAUUAGCUAGUUGGUGAGGUAACGGCCCACCAAGGCAACGAUCGGUAGCCGGACUGAGAGGUUGAACGGCCACAUUGGGACUGAGACACGGCCCAGACUCCUACGGGAGGCAGCAGUGGGGAAUAUUGCACAAUGGGGGAAACCCUGAUGCAGCGACGCCGCGUGGAGGAAGAAGGUCUUCGGAUUGUAAACUCCUGUUGUUGAGGAAGAUAAUGACGGUACUCAACAAGGAAGUGACGGCUAACUACGUGCCAGCAGCCGCGGUAAAACGUAGGUCACAAGCGUUGUCCGGAAUUACUGGGUGUAAAGGGAGCGCAGGCGGGAAGACAAGUUGGAAGUGAAAUCCAUGGGCUCAACCCAUGAACUGCUUUCAAAACUGUUUUUCUUGAGUAGUGCAGAGGUAGGCGGAAUUCCCGGUGUAGCGGUGGAAUGCGUAGAUAUCGGGAGGAACACCAGUGGCGAAGGCGGCCUACUGGGCACCAACUGACGCUGAGGCUCGAAAGUGUGGGUAGCAAACAGGAUUAGAUACCCUGGUAGUCCACACCGUAAACGAUGAUUACUAGGUGUUGGAGGAUUGACCCCUUCAGUGCCGCAGUUAACACAAUAAGUAAUCCACCUGGGGAGUACGACCGCAAGGUUGAAACUCAAAGGAAUUGACGGAAGGG
rnacentral:rRNA from 1 species